rnacentral:misc_RNA from 1 species
UAAUAAUACUGAAGACUAGGGCAAUGGACCUGAUUCUCCGUCACCCAGCCUAUUUCCUGCAGUGCUGAAUACUUGCCGAGUGAUAGAAAGGCAAAAUCUGGAUCCCAGAAUAGAUAUUUACUAGACAAACAUUUUGGAAGAAUAUCAAUCACACCAACAGCAAUAAGCUUGCCAUCAACAACAUAUUGCUGAUGAAAGGAGCCAAAUCCACAAGGAGGAACUCUACCAUCACCAGAGGGUGGAACCGGAACUAAGGGUGUAUCAACCAGAAACCUCCUGUAUGAGAUUUCAGUAACAUGAUCUGGUGUAUCAUUAUGCACUGUCAUCUGAUAUCUUCUAUACAAUGCAAACUCUUCAGGAUCAAAACUGGAUCUUUUCAAAUGUAUCUCUAAUUUCCGCCUUUUCAGCUGAGAAUGUUUUGCACUCUUCCUCAUACAACAGACUUUUCUUUUACACCCUGCAGCAGACUCUUUAGAGCCAGUAACAAUUUGAGCACCUUCAGUGGAAGAAGCCUGCGUUGCUGUUGUAUAAAAAUUAAUGUGUCCAUUGCAAGCCUUGACGGACAACCCACUAGUUUCUGACAACUGAUUUAAAGCAGCAGCCAACUUUUCUGCAAUAACUUUAGGAGACAGAUUAUUAUUUUCUGCAUUAUGCCUUGGGUCAUUUUCGGCAGCUAGCACCCGCCUUAUAGUGGCUACUAUUUGAAAUGCAAUAUUGCUAGAGUACAAGAGGUCAUUUGCUCCUUCAGCUAGCAGCUUUCUUUUGGCUGGAGAAACCUGCUUGACAGAAGCUUUUGGUAAUUGUAUACUGCAAAGAAAAUCCCCGCUUUCUGCACAAGAACGGACUGCAUUGUCAACUUGAUCUGACAAAUACUUAGCAAUAUGCUCUGCCCUAUUCUUCUCCUCAUUUUUUGAAGACAAAGUGAAGACAAAGAUUCCUUUGUUCCAGAGCUUGAAACUUCAUGACAUGCACAGCUGCAUGUACCUUUGGAGACUUUUGGAUCAUCUACAACCUCCACUUUUUUAUUCACA